AUGAUGAUGUCUCUGACUCUACUGCUGGCCACCCUGGGGCUCCUUGUUCAGGGUUCAUCAGCAGAAAUCAUCCUGACUCAGUCUCCUGGAUCUCAGUCUCCUGGAUCUCAGUCUGUUGUUCCAGGACAGACUGUCUCUAUCAGAUGUAAAGCCAGUAGACUUAUAGGUGAUGACAUUAACUGGUACCGUCAGAAACCUGGAGAAGCUCCUAAACUCCUGAUUUAUGAUACAACAUAUCUUCAGUCUGGAGUUUCAUAUCGUUUUAGUGCAACAGCAGAUCAGACUGACUUCACUCUGACCAUCAGUGGAGUUCAGAGUGAAGAUGCAGGAGUUUAUUAUUGUCAGCAGCAUAACAGCUUCCCGCUCACACAGUGA